GACGAACGCUGGCGGCGUGCUUAACACAUGCAAGUCGAGCGGUAAGGCCCUUUCGGGGGUACGACGAGCGGCGAACGGGUGAGUAACACGUGGGUGACCUGCCCUCAGCUCUGGGAUAAGCCUGGGAAACCGGGUCUAAUACCGGAUAUGACUCCAUGACGCAUGUUAUGGGGUGGAAAGCCUUGUGCGGCUGAGGAUGGGCCCGCGGCCUAUCAGCUUGUUGGUGGGGUGAGGCCUACCAAGGCGACGACGGGUAGCCGGCCUGAGAGGGCGACCGGCCACACUGGGACUGAGACACGGCCCAGACUCCUACGGGAGGCAGCAGUGGGGAAUAUUGGACAAUGGGCGCAAGCCUGAUCCAGCGAUGCCGCGUGUGUGAAGAAGGCCUGCGGGGUU
rnacentral:rRNA from 1 species